AUGGUCUUGUUGUGGUUGCCGUCAUCUUUUCUUGGUUUUUGUCUGGGUGGGUGGUGAUGAACAGGGAGGGAUGUGUUCAUGUUGGAAAUUGUAUGUUUUGUAUCUAUUCAAAAAUCAAAUCUGGAAUAACCUCAAUGGUGAACGUGGCUAGGUAAAUUAAAGCUCUUUUUUUUUGUCUGUAAUCUUAAUAAAUACACCAGCAUUGAUUAA